UCCGGCUUAUCACCGGCAGUCCCACUAGAGUGCCCAACUGAAUGAUGGCAACUAAUGAUAGGGGUUGCGCUCGUUGCGGGACUUAACCCAACACCUCACGGCACGAGCCGACGACAGCCAUGCAGCACCUAGUUUCGUGUCCUUUCGGCCUCCCCCUUUUCUGAGGGAUUCACUAACUUUCAAGCCCAGGUAAGGUUCCUCGCGUAUCAUCGAAUUAAACCACAUGCUCCUCCGCUUGUGCGGGCCCCCGUCAAUUCCUUUGAGUUUCAACCUUGCGGUCGUACUCCCCAGGUGGAUUACUUAAUGCUUUCGCUUAGACGCUGACAGUGUAUCGCCAACAUCGAGUAAUCAUCGUUUAGGGCGUGGACUAC
rnacentral:misc_RNA from 1 species